UACAGAGGUCUCAAGCGUUGUUCGGAUUCAUUGGGCGUAAAGGGUGCGUAGGUGGCGUGGUAAGUCGGAUGUGAAAUCCCGGGGCUCAACCCCGGAACUGCAUUCGAUACUGCCUUGCUAGAGUACUGGAGAGGAGAUUGGAAUUUACGGUGUAGCAGUGAAAUGCGUAGAUAUCGUAAGGAAGACCAGUGGCGAAGGCGAAUCUCUGGACAAUUACUGACACUGAGGCACGAAGGCCAGGGGAGCAAAACGGG
rnacentral:rRNA from 1 species